rnacentral:rRNA from 1 species
GACGAACGCUGGCGGCGUGCUUAACACAUGCAAGUUGAACGAGAAUUUUUCGAGUGAUUUCUUCGGAAUGAUCAUGAAAAAGGAAAGUAGCGAACGGGUGAGUAACACGUGAGAAACCUGCCUUUCACAAAGGGAUAGCCUCGGGAAACCGGGAUUAAUACCUUAUGAAACCAAACACUCGCAUGAGAGCUUGGUUAAAGAUUUAUCGGUGUUAGAUGGUCUCGCGUCUGAUUAGCUAGUUGGUGGGAUAAAAGCCUACCAAGGCAACGAUCAGUAGCCGGAUUGAGAGGUUGAACGGCCACACUGGAACUGAGACACGGUCCAGACUCCUACGGGAGGCAGCAGUGGGGAAUUUUGCACAAUGGAGGAAACUCUGAUGCAGCGACGCCGCGUGAGUGAUGAAGGUCUUCGGAUUGUAAAACUCUGUCCUUAGUGAAGAUAAUGACAGUAACUAAGAAGCAAGCCCUGGCUAAAUACGUG